AAAAGUCGUAACAAGGUCUCCGUUGGUGAACCAGCGGAGGGAUCAUUACCGAGUUUACAACUCCCAAACCCCUGUGAACAUACCACUUGUUGCCUCGGCGGAUCAGCCCGCUCCCGGUAAAACGGGACGGCCCGCCAGAGGACCCCUAAACUCUGUUUCUAUAUGUAACUUCUGAGUAAAACCAUAAAUAAAUCAAAACUUUCAACAACGGAUCUCUUGGUUCUGGCAUCGAUGAAGAACGCAGCAAAAUGCGAUAAGUAAUGUGAAUUGCAGAAUUCAGUGAAUCAUCGAAUCUUUGAACGCACAUUGCGCCCGCCAGUAUUCUGGCGGGCAUGCCUGUUCGAGCGUCAUUUCAACCCUCAAGCACAGCUUGGUGUUGGGACUCGCGUUAAUUCGCGUUCCUCAAAUUGAUUGGCGGUCACGUCGAGCUUCCAUAGCGUAGUAGUAAAACCCUCGUUACUGGUAAUCGUCGCGGCCACGCCGUUAAACCCCAACUUCUGAAUGUUGACCUCGGAUCAGGUAGGAAUACCCGCUGAACUUAAGC
rnacentral:rRNA from 1 species